UACGUAGGGUGCGAGCGUUAGUCGGAAUUACUGGGCGUAAAGCGUGCGCAGGCGGUUCUGAAAGUCAGCUGUGAAAGCCCCGGGCUUAACCUGGGAAUUGCGGUUGAAACUACAGGGCUAGAAUCUGGCAGAGGGGGGUGGAAUUCCACGUGUAGCAGUGAAAUGCGUAGAGAUGUGGAGGAACACCGAUGGCGAAGGCAGCCCCCUGGGCUGAGAUUGACGCUCAGGCACGAAAGCGUGGGGAGCAAACAGG
rnacentral:rRNA from 1 species